rnacentral:rRNA from 1 species
AUCCUGUCUGAAUAUGGGGGGACCAUCCUCCAAGGCUAAAUACUCCUGACUGACCGAUAGUGAACCAGUACCGUGAGGGAAAGGCGAAAAGAACCCCGGCGAGGGGAGUGAAAAAGAACCUGAAACCGUGUACGUACAAGCAGUGGGAGCCUCUUUUAUGGGGUGACUGCGUACCUUUUGUAUAAUGGGUCAGCGACUUAUAUUCUGUAGCAAGGUUAACCGAAUAGGGGAGCCGAAGGGAAACCGAGUCUUAACUGGGCGUUAAGUUGCAGGGUAUAGACCCGAAACCCGGUGAUCUAGCCAUGGGCAGGUUGAAGGUUGGGUAACACUAACUGGAGGACCGAACCGACUAAUGUUGAAAAAUUAGCGGAUGACUUGUGGCUGGGGGUGAAAGGCCAAUCAAACCGGGAGAUAGCUGGUUCUCCCCGAAAGCUAUUUAGGUAGCGCCUCGUGAAUUCAUCUCCGGGGGUAGAGCACUGUUUCGGCAAGGGGGUCAUCCCGACUUACCAACCCGAUGCAAACUGCGAAUACCGGAGAAUGUUAUCACGGGAGACACACGGCGGGUGCUAACGUCCGUCGUGAAGAGGGAAACAACCCAGACCGCCAGCUAAGGUCCCAAAGUCAUGGUUAAGUGGGAAACGAUGUGGGAAGGCCCAGACAGCCAGGAUGUUGGCUUAGAAGCAGCCAUCAUUUAAAGAAAGCGUAAUAGCUCACUGGUCGAGUCGGCCUGCGCGGAAGAUGUAACGGGGCUAAACCAUGCACCGAAGCUGCGGCAGCGACGCUUAUGCGUUGUUGGGUAGGGGAGCGUUCUGUAAGCCUGUGAAGGUGUGCUGUGAGGCAUGCUGGAGGUAUCAGAAGUGCGAAUGCUGACAUAAGUAACGAUAAAGCGGGUGAAAAGCCCGCUCGCCGGAAGACCAAGGGUUCCUGUCCAACGUUAAUCGGGGCAGGGUGAGUCGACCCCUAAGGCGAGGCCGAAAGGCGUAGUCGAUGGGAAACAGGUUAAUAUUCCUGUACUUGGUGUUACUGCGAAGGGGGGACGGAGAAGGCUAUGUUGGCCGGGCGACGGUUGUCCCGGUUUAAGCGUGUAGGCUGGUUUUCCAGGCAAAUCCGGAAAAUCAAGGCUGAGGCGUGAUGACGAGGCACUACGGUGCUGAAGCAACAAAUGCCCUGCUUCCAGGAAAAGCCUCUAAGCAUCAGGUAACAUCAAAUCGUACCCCAAACCGACACAGGUGGUCAGGUAGAGAAUACCAAGGCGCUUGAGAGAACUCGGGUGAAGGAACUAGGCAAAAUGGUGCCGUAACUUCGGGAGAAGGCACGCUGAUAUGUAGGUGAAGCGACUUGCUCGUGGAGCUGAAAUCAGUCGAAGAUACCAGCUGGCUGCAACUGUUUAUUAAAAACACAGCACUGUGCAAACACGAAAGUGGACGUAUACGGUGUGACGCCUGCCCGGUGCCGGAAGGUUAAUUGAUGGGGUCAGCGCAAGCGAAGCUCUUGAUCGAAGCCCCGGUAAACGGCGGCCGUAACUAUAACGGUCCUAAGGUAGCGAAAUUCCUUGUCGGGUAAGUUCCGACCUGCACGAAUGGCGUAAUGAUGGCCAGGCUGUCUCCACCCGAGACUCAGUGAAAUUGAACUCGCUGUGAAGAUGCAGUGUACCCGCGGCAAGACGGAAAGACCCCGUGAACCUUUACUAUAGCUUGACACUGAACAUUGAGCCUUGAUGUGUAGGAUAGGUGGGAGGCUUAGAAGUGUGGACGCCAGUCUGCAUGGAGCCGACCUUGAAAUACCACCCUUUAAUGUUUGAUGUUCUAACGUUGACCCGUAAUCCGGGUUGCGGACAGUGUCUGGUGGGUAGUUUGACUGGGGCGGUCUCCUCCUAAAGAGUAACGGAGGAGCACGAAGGUUGGCUAAUCCUGGUCGGACAUCAGGAGGUUAGUGCAAUGGCAUAAGCCAGCUUGACUGCGAGCGUGACGGCGCGAGCAGGUGCGAAAGCAGGUCAUAGUGAUCCGGUGGUUCUGAAUGGAAGGGCCAUCGCUCAACGGAUAAAAGGUACUCCGGGGAUAACAGGCUGAUACCGCCCAAGAGUUCAUAUCGACGGCGGUGUUUGGCACCUCGAUGUCGGCUCAUCACAUCCUGGGGCUGAAGUAGGUCCCAAGGGUAUGGCUGUUCGCCAUUUAAAGUGGUACGCGAGCUGGGUUUAGAACGUCGUGAGACAGUUCGGUCCCUAUCUGCCGUGGGCGCUGGAGAACUGAGGGGGGCUGCUCCUAGUACGAGAGGACCGGAGUGGACGCAUCACUGGUGUUCGGGUUGUCAUGCCAAUGGCACUGCCCGGUAGCUAAAUGCGGAAGAGAUAAGUGCUGAAAGCAUCUAAGCACGAAACUUGCCCCGAGAUGAGUUCUCCCUGACCCUUUAAGGGUCCUGAAGGAACGUUGAAGACGACGACGUUGAUAGGCCGGGUGUGUAAGCGCAGCGAUGCGUUGAGCUAACCGGUACUAAUGAACCGUGAGG